GAGUAAUACAUAAGUAACCUGCCCUAGACAGGGGGAUAACUAUUGGAAACGAUAGCUAAGACCGCAUAGAUACGGACACUGCAUGGUGACCGUAUUAAAAGUGCCUCAAAGCACUGGUAGAGGAUGGACUUAUGGCGCAUUAGCUGGUUGGCGGGGUAACGGCCCACCAAGGCGACGAUGCGUAGCCGACCUGAGAGGGUGACCGGCCACACUGGGACUGAGACACGGCCCAGACUCCUACGGGAGGCAGCAUG
rnacentral:rRNA from 1 species